AGUGGGUGCACCGGGCACCCUGUGAUGCGACCACACUGCGAGGCGCGCUGGCCACUCGGGUGGGCGUGCUAGGUUUCUGCGGCGGAAGUGUGGACCACAGAGUGUGACUCCCCUUCUAGCAGUAGGUGUUCUGACUCAUCCAGCUGCUGCCCCUCUGCCCGAGAGUAGUUCAAACUGAAGGGAAGAAAACAUAUGUGCAUGGUCUGCCAUCUUGAACCAGAAGUCUGAAAGAGGGCUCUGAAUGCUGCACACAAGGAUCUCAGAGUGAGGGUGACAGACCCCAAGAGCAUCUGCACCAUAAACAUUUCCACAAGAAAUAAUGAAGAAUGUGGCUGUUCCAGGGUGACCCUGGAGAGGCUCUGCUGUACCCACAG